rnacentral:rRNA from 1 species
UACAGAGGUCUCAAGCGUUACUCGGAAUUACUGGGCGUAAAGCGUGCGUAGGUGGUUUGUUAAGUCUGUUGUGAAAGCCCCGGGCUCAACCUGGGAACCGCGCCUUGAGACUGGCACGCUAGAGUUCGGGAGAGGAUGGUGGAAUUCCCAGUGGUAGAGGUGAAAUUCGUAGAUAUUGGGAAGGAACACCAGAUGGCGAAG